UUCCAAGCUAAAGAGAGAGAAAAAAGGGAGAGGAGAAAAAACCAGAGAUUGUAGCUCCACACCCAGCGCGUGAAUUCAAAAAGAUCUUGUUUCCUCUGGAGACUGCAAGCAGUUACAUAUCAUUGCAGGAAGUGUGAAGAAAAUCUGCUGCAAGACAUUUACUUCAUUUCAGCAUUCUGAAUGCGAGCCUCACUUUUUCAUCAGUGUACUAUGUCAUGGGAUCCUAUCACGUUAAAUAAACACAUUAAAGAUUGUAUUGGCUGUGUAACAAGCCUGUUUGACAUUGAAAGAUUUUAACAUGCCUUCUUUACCUAGAAAAAAAAUGAAUACAGGCACAUUUUAUGGGCCAAAUGACAAACUAUAAUGAUUAAUAGACCUAUUUAAAUGAAUAAUUGUCCUGUGUACUGUACAAGUUUAUGUUGUACAAUGGCUAUGUAUGCAGCAGCUGACAAACUUCUUCUAUGGAGAUGUAAAAGACAAGAAUUGGUAAAAAUAACACAGCUGAGCCAGGCCAAGCUAAGAGUAAGCCUGAUGGAUAUUUCAAAUGACCUCAGUGAAGUGGAGAGUAUUUAUUGACAUCUGAAGGCUUCCAACACCCUCCCCCAACUUUAUUUCAAAGUCUUUCUUGAUUUACUAUAGAAAGUCGUGUUUUAAAGACC